CGUCUAGACUUGUAUUGUUUGUUUGGGUGAGUCAUUAUCCUUUUAGAAAAUGUAAUUUAAAUUGCACUGAAAUUUGUUAUGUUAUCGGCUGGACUAUCAUAUUAAUUACGGUAUUAUGUCUCUUUCAAACAUAAAAUGUACAGCGUAAUUGUUCAUAUAUAAGGCUUUGUUAGGAACAGAUGCUGCAUUGAUUACGAUGAUGCAAUUCUAAUGAUUUUAUUAAUUAAAACUCACGAGUUCAGAUCAUUUUUGAUUGCAAAUACUUUGAACGCUUGUUAUAUCAAUUUGAUGCAGUAAAGAAUAAUUUCAAAUUCAAACAAAAGCAUAAUAAGUUUUUUUUUAAUUUCCAGCAAAGUAUAUAAACAAAGUAUAUUAGUUUACCUUACCACACAUACUUCGACAGAGACAAUUGAAGGAACUGUCUUUAGUUUGUAAGUGUUUGUUGAUUUUUAUAUUAUUUUUACAAGGCUUUAAACAGAUCUGCAAUGCUUCAACAACUUAGCAAGAUUAUGAUAAAUGUCGUAUUUUGUUUCUGAUAUUUUGUUUACUAGCUUAACAAAACUUUGAAUAAUUGUAAUACUAAGGUUUUUCUAUCUCAGGAUUCGAUUACAUCAGCUGUAUUUUGAAACACCUUAGGAUUUUUUUUUGUUUCUUGGUGAUCUCCAAUUUUACUUUAUUUGGCAUUUUUAACUGUUUUGUAUUCGAGCGUUACUGAUGAGUCUUUUGUAGAAGAAACGCUGUCGUAAGAUUGUUAUUAAAUUUUCUUUAUUGAUGUUUGAUAAAAAUGGAGACAUUUUAUAUUUGAGAUCCAAAUUUAAUGGUUUAUCUUCCUAUACAUGCAAUUAUUAAAUGAAAUUUCUACAUUCUACGGGCUUUUGUCAGAACUAUACUAGUUGGACAUUGGACGUCCAGUGAAAAAUAAUUAUGUUGCGUUUUUGGAAUUUGGAAUAACUCAGAAUUAAACAAAACCAUGGUAUAUCUUUAAUAUAAAAUUUGGAAAUGAUGGGUUAAAUAACAUUGUGUAUUGUAGUGCUUUACUUAAUUCGUUCUGUUUUUAUUCAAAAACAAAUGAACGAAAAAUUGCUACAUAUCUUUUUUCUUAACCUUAGAUAAGGAUAUUGCACUUUUAAAAUAUACAAUUUUAUUAUAUUAAACCAAUGUAAUAAGAAAAGAUUUUACAUCACUAUAACAUUCACACGAUUCAUUCAAUACAGGAAGUUUUGUAUUAAUAAAGUUCUAUCAGAAUGCGUUUUUUUUAUAUAAUUUUCCUACAGAAUAUAUUCGGAAAUUCUUACGCAGGAAAAUCUUAUCCUACAUUAUUAUAUGUCAUCUAGGUGAGCAAAUCCUCUACAUGAUGAAAAUAGGCAAGAUUCUGUGUGCCAUGUUCAUGGUGCUAAUAUCAGUUUUAGCAGGAACAGCUAGUGGAAUGCCACCUCGAGCACGACUUGAAUUUAGCAUAUUAAAACAAAUUUCUACACUAAAAACAGUAAAUUCCAAAAAUGUUAUUUAGUUUCUGGUUGAGAACAGAAUCAUUUGCUAAGGGACAUUCCGUUUU
rnacentral:lncRNA from 1 species